UAGUUGAGUUGAGUUGAGUAUUAUAUUAUUAGUUAAUUGUUUUCAUAAUUUAGUGCUUCCUUCAAUGAAGCAAGCACUUUUUUGCACUUUGCACUUUAAGCGAUGGAGUGAUUGAUCGCUUUGAGUGCAGCUUACACUUUUAGCUACCUUGGGCUGCACACUACUGCAACUAGAAUUGAAGCAGGGAUGCACAUGGAUGACUAAAAAUUUUAAACUCUAAGCAAACUGAAAUCCGCAUUAUAAAUAAGGAAACGCAAAAAUACUACAUAUACCAGUUUUUUUAUCUGUAUUUGUAUGAGAAGGGGCGUAUAUUAUUACUUGCAAUAAAGAUGGAUAGUAUAUGAAUUAUAAAAUCUCCUGCACAGAGGAAAUACAUAGAAAGAAGAAAGCCAAAACCAAGCACAGAGAGGCUACAAUGCAGCAUUAUGUGGGUGUUAAUGUUGGGCUAAACAAAACUUCACCCAACACGACCUAGCUGGCUGAAAUCUAGUAAAUAUAUAGAAUAACAAGGAACAAGAUAAAGGCAAGAUAUUGCCAUCUGACAGCCAGUAAUGACCUUAUAUUUAUUUUGUUCUGUUUCCUUAGCAGAUAAAGAGAGCCCAACACAUAAAUAUUUAUAACAUUACUGGAAGAAGCUAAUUCAUCUCAAAUAGGGUGUUCAUCUCUGAUCAAGAUUCCCAAUUUCUGUCCUUCACAUAUAUGCAGUUUGCAGACAUAUGCAUUAAGCUGAAUAAU
rnacentral:misc_RNA from 1 species